UGACAAAUACCGGAACUCAGAUGUUGCCCAUCUCAUUCCCUUAACAAUGUUGUAUCCCAGAAACCACCUGGAUCUCACAUUCCACCCUCCCCGACCUCAGACUGCGCCUCCCAGCAUCCCCUCACCCAAACACUCCUUCCUUGCCUAUCUUGGACUAAGAGAAAGAGCAGGGACUGUCUGAGGACAGCCGCGUUCUGUACCAAAAACCAAGAGACAGAGACAGGAACAGACAAAAACCCACAAAACUUAAAACACAACCCCAGCAGGUGUAUGUUGCUGCAAAACCUUCAGACCCCAGGGGUCUGGACCAUGUGUACUGUAUAUCUUUAGUAAGGAAUAGAGAAUUGGCUCUGUAUGUAUACCUAUUGACCUAAAAGCUGCUUUAUCCAAUCUUCAGAGAGGUGAUCUGCUGCCUACAUCUACCUUCAGAGGCAUGCCUCCCCAGCCAUCACUCCCACUUCAGCCCUCCUCCGUACUUCUCUCUGAAAGGAAUUUUGUCGUGUUAACCCUAAAGAGAGUGUCCUUAAUAGCAGUGAGCGCUUGGAAGCUUCUCCACUGGUACAUUGGGUUUUCUGUUGGGUGAGUGGGGUCUUGUGGGCAUUUGUGGAUUGGGAAAGAAAAAGUGUGUAUGUUUGGGGUGUGUGUGUGUGUGUGUGUGUGUGCAUUGUGGUAUAUGUGUGGUGUGUGUGUGUAUAUGUCAUGACAUUUCUAUUGCACAUUCUUUUUAUACUGGCCUCUUUGACAGUGAUGAACAGUCUUGACUUCCCAUCCUGAUUGUUCAUCGACGACUUUCUCCCCACAUCCUCCACUGCCUUCCCUUCUCUAUUUUAUGACUACAGAGUGGUAGGGCCUGGUGCUCAGUGGAUGAAGACCUGCAGGGUGCCAGGAUAGUUCCAAUAGAGUGCUCAAAGCCUGGAGUUCAGCUCUCUACUUAGGAAGAUGGGUAGAGUCAAGUGACAGAUCUCUUAAGAAACGCCUCAAAACUCCACAGCUGACAUCACAAAACCCACGUGGAGUGCAUGCAUGCGCGCACGCAUGCGCGUACACACAUUUGCACACAAACACAAAACACACACACACACAAAGGAGCGCAUCCUUUUUAAAAGGCAGAACGUGUGCGUGUGUAAGAGUGUGUGUGUGUGUCUGUGUGUGUGUGUGUGUGUGUGUGAUAUUGACUCAGUUGUUAUCAUUGUCUGCAGGAAAAAAAUGUAUGAGUGGAAAUGUUUAUGGUUGAUAAAUCCAGCCAAGGAGAUUAAAGGGGUUCGGAUCAAUUCUGGGUGUAAAUGCUCAGACUAAAAAGAAACGGCAGCUUUGCACAGUGCGCUGGCCUUGCACGAGUUUGUUUCCCAUUGGGGGAAAGGGAUGAGUAAAAGGAAAGGAAGGAAAGGUACCUUUUUUAUGGAAUGAGUAGACUGUAUGUUUGACAUUUUAGCUGUGACCUCUUUGACGUACAAGGAAGGACAGAACAAAAAGGUGCUGCUUAGUCCUGUGCCUCAGACGAUGCCCCAGGAUGCCCCACUGUGUGCAGAGCCUCUGGCUAGAGUGUACCCUCCAUGUAUUAGUAACCCCGUAUUCCAUUUUGUUAACGCCUAGCAGAUGUAACCUGCUAGGAGCUGACUUUAUACUUAUUUAAAGCUCUUAUUUUAUGGUCAUUAAAAUGGCAGUUUCUGUGCAGCACUUUAUUGCGGCAGGAGAAGGUUUGAUUCAGUUGCAUAGCCCCUUGCUCAUCUUUAAAAAAGUAAUGGGUGGUUUAAAAAGGAAAAGAAAAUCUUUGUCUGAAUAUGUUCACUGCUUGGAUUUGUAAGACAGCAGAAUUUCCAGUAUGCAACAGGCUGAAGGAGCGGGAAGAAAUGUGCUUUGUAUAAAAAUGGGAAGUUUGUUAUAUGAAAGGUUGGUUCUGUAUUAUUUAUCAGCGGAAGAACUGGUGUCCAGGAGGAAUGCUCUUUCCCACACUGUGUUAUCCUCGAUAAUACCCACCUUUCUUUUUGUUACUUUAACCAGGGGGAAAUAAACGCCUCCCUGAUGUUCUUCCUCUAGUCGAGACUGCUUCCCUGAAGUGAAUGCAGUCGGACAGGAAGCCAGAGACUGAACAGUCCACAUCAUCAGCUCCUUAUACCUUCGCAGCCUCCCUCUCCAAACCUAGCAGGGCCCUGCUUCCCUCCCCACCUGACAUCCAGCCGUGGAUGAGGGGCCUGCUUAGGGCCCUGGCAAACAAGUUCACACUACAGAGAUGUCCACAAAGCAGGGAGAGCAACCAGCUAGGCCAGAAAGGCCCCAAAGCCUCAGUCAUUCUCCAGCAGAGACCUUUGCUCUUGGCCUUGUUUAACCCGAUGUUCAACUCACCAUGUCAAUAUCUCAGUAAAAGACACUAUAGACACUUCUGGACAAUAUGCCCCCAAGGUCACUGGGUUUAUGGGUGGGUUUGUUGUUUUUUUUUUUUUUAAUUUGCUUUUGCUUUUUUGUUUUAAAGUUAUGUCUUUAUCCCCAUUUAAUGGAGAAUGUGCCAUUUGGCUAAUAAUGUUUUCAAAACUGCAGGUUCAGUGAUAAGGGAGAGGGAACUGCAGUGACCCCACCCCCACCCCCAAGAGGCUGGCAGAAAGGUGACUCACAGAAGCACCAGCAGGUUAAGAACCUGAAUGGGUGUCCCUGACCACGAGGACCCUAGGUUUUACAGCAUGUCACUUGUGCAAUAAGAGGUCUUCUGGUGGGACCGUGCGAGAGGGGAGGUGGGCGGAGACGCUUACUGCUCAAAUGCCGUGCAUUUCAUUGCUUGCCACUGAACCUGUAUUUGAAUGACUUAGUAAUGCUUAAUGUAAUUGGGCAACUUUUUUAGCACUUUGGAAAGAGUCACCAAUCUUUCUGGUAAAUUAUAAAAAGUUUUCUGAGUGAGAAAACGUGUGUUUGCAGUUUGUUUGACUUUUUAUAUUAUUGUUGUUGUUAUUAAUAAAAAAAAAGAAAAUC
rnacentral:lncRNA from 1 species